GUUACUAUUUUGGCAGAAGAUAUGCGUUAGACUUAGGAUCUUAUAAAAUAGAGUAAUCUAUAA
rnacentral:tRNA from 1 species